UAACGAAUCUUCCGCAAUGCACGAAAGUGUGACGGAGCGACGCCGCGUGUAGGACGAAGCCCUUCGGGGUGUAAACUACUGUCAGGGGUUAGAAAGUUCUGAUCAACCCCAGAGGAAGGCACGGCUAACUCUGUGCCAGCAGCCGCGGUAAGACAGAGGUGCCAAGCGUUAGGCGGAAUCACUGGGCUUAAAGCGUGUGUAGGCGGAUUCCUAAGUACCUUGUGAAAUCCCACGGCUCAACCGUGGAACUGCUUGGUAUACUGGGUGUCUUGAGCCACUUAGGGGCGACCGGAACAAAUGGUGGAGCGGUGAAAUGCGUAGAUAUCAUUUGGAACGCCAAUGGUGAAAACAGGUCGCUGGGAGUGUGCUGACGCUGAGACACGAAAGCCAGGGGAGCGAACGGGAUUAGAUACCCCCGUAGUCC
rnacentral:rRNA from 1 species